GGACGGGUGAGUAACACGUGGGAACGUGCCUUUAGGUUCGGAAUAACUCAGGGAAACUUGUGCUAAUACCGAAUGUGCCCUUCGGGGGAAAGAUUUAUCGCCUUUAGAGCGGCCCGCGUCUGAUUAGCUUGUUGGUGGGGUAAUGGCCCACCAAGGCUACGAUCAGUAGCUGGUCUGAGAGGAUGACCAGCCACAUUGGGACUGAGACACGGCCCAAACUCCUACGGGAGGCAGCAGUGGGGAAUCUUGCGCAAUGGGCGAAAGCCUGACGCAGCCAUGCCGCGUGUAUGAUGAAGGUCUUAGGAUUGUAAAAUACUUUCACCGGUGAAGAUAAUGACUGUAGCCGGAGAAGAAGCCCCGGCUAACUUCGUGCCAGCAGCCGCGGUAAUACGAAGGGGGCUAGCGUUGCUCGGAAUUACUGGGCGUAAAGGGAGCGUAGGCGGACAUUUAAGUCAGAGGUGAAAUCCCGGAGCUUAACUUCGGAACUGCCUUUGAUACUGGAUGUCUUGAGUGUGAGAGAGGUAUGUGGAACUCCGAGUGUAGAGGUGAAAUUCGUAGAUAUUCGGAAGAACACCAGUGGCGAAGGCGACAUACUGGCUCAUUACUGACGCUGAGGCUCGAAAGCGUGGGGAGCAAACAGGAUUAGAUACCCUGGUAGUCCACGCCGUAAACGAUGAUUGCUAGUUGUCGGGAAGCUUGCUUCUCGGUGACGCAGCUAACGCAUUAAGCAAUCCGCCUGGGGAGUACGGUCGCAAGAUUAAAACUCAAAGGAAUUGACGG
rnacentral:rRNA from 1 species